ensembl:lncRNA
CCGUUAAUGACGGACUUUAAAAGCGGAGGGAGAACAAGGAAAUCAAGAGAAGUGAUGCAACUGUAGUGAGAUCACCGACUGCGUCUGGGCGCACGGAAUGCAAAUACAAAGCGCAAGGUCAGCUGCUGUUACCUGCUGGUCCCCAGUUCUUUGGAUGAAGGCAGUCAAUGGAGGAAACAGAGUGUGUCAACAGCAAGUGUUGACAUUUGGCUUAGGAGAUAAACCUCACAGGGGAUCAAACAAAGACUGGCUCUUUUGAGUGGAGAAAGGAGUGUGUGUGUGUGAGUGUGCGUGCACGCAUAUGUUUGUGUAAAGAUGUUUCAAUGUUGCAAGAUUUCUGCUGACGUCCUGAAGCCGAAGGACGCUGAUAAUUGUCUGAGGGCUUUGGUUAUCUCCAUGUCAAAAGGCUGAGUGAACUUAAAAGUGAGAUGAGGUGCACAACACACAUGCAAAGAUGUUUUAAUUAUUCAUAGCUUCACAAAAAAGAAAAAAUACAAGAGAUAUAAAGUAAAGAGAAUAUUUUCUGACACGACUGGCAUCUAUGUGCUCAAACACAAAGUCCCACAAAAACACACGCUGUAACAAGUGUGCCGAUGUGAAAGAAUUUUUGACUCUUUCACAGCAGAAUGAGAAAAAUGUAAAGAUCAUAGAAAGGUUCAUUUCUAAAUGACACUUAAAAGGAGGAAGACUCUUCCAAUGGUUGAAUAAAGAAUGGGCAGCAUUAUUUCUCCCCUACAGAAAAGCUGCCGUGUCAAUAAACCUGUCUAGAGACCAGCAUUAGUACAGAUACAUAUCAAUAUGCUCGUUGCUACAGGGAAUGCAGUGUUACAGGUUAUUCACAUGAUUCCAGGAUGUCUUUCAAAUUUCAUCUAAAAAGUGCAUCACAGAUCCUUCAUUAAUGCCUCUAUAUUUCUGAUUUUAACCCUGUUUAAAUUAGCCUGUAGGUUUAAAUGCUCAAAACCAAAAACUUUUGUCUUUUUCCUGCUGAAAAAAAAAGCCAGUGGUCUGACUAAGGAGCUUGGCUCUUCUUACACA